AACGAACGCUGGCGGCAUGCCUAACACAUGCAAGUCGAACGAGACUUUCGGGUCUAGUGGCGCACGGGUGCGUAACGCGUGGGAACCUGCCCUUAGGUUCGGAAUCACUCCCCGAAAGGGUUGCUAAUACCGGAUAAUGUCUUUGGACCAAAUUUUUAUCGCCUUUGGAUGGGUCCGCGUUGGAUUAGCUAGUUGGUAGGGUAAAAGCCUACCAAGGCGACGAUCCAUAGCUGGUCUGAGAGGAUGAACAGCCAAACUGGGACUGAGACACGGCCCAGACUCCUACGGGAGGAAGCAGUGGGGAAUAUUGGACAAUGGGCGAAAGACUGAUCCAGCAAUGCCGCGUGAGAGAUGAAGGCCUUAGGGUUGUAAAGCUCGUUUAUCCGGGAUGAUAAUGACAGUACCGGGAGAAUAAGCUCCGGCUAACUCCGUG
rnacentral:rRNA from 1 species